UACGUAGGGCGCGAGCGUUGUCCGGAAUUAUUGGGCGUAAAGAGCUCGUAGGCGGUUUGUCGCGUCGGUUGUGAAAACCCAAGGCUCAACCUUGGGCCUGCAAUCGAUACGGGCAGACUAGAGUACUGCAGGGGAGACUGGAAUUCCUGGUGUAGCGGUGGAAUGCGCAGAUAUCAGGAGGAACACCGAUGGCGAAGGCAGGUCUCUGGGCAUUAACUGACGCUGGAGGAGCGAAAAGCAUGGGGAGCGAACAGG
rnacentral:rRNA from 1 species